UACGUAGGUGGCAAGCGUUAUCCGGAAUUAUUGGGCGUAAAGAGCUUGUUGGUGGCUUGUCGCGUCUGCCGUGAAAACCCGAGGCUCAACCUCGGGCGUGCGGUGGGUACGGGCAGGCUAGAGCGUGGUAGGGGAGACUGGAACUCCUGGUGUAGCGGUGAAAUGCGCGGAUAUCAGGAAGAACACCGAUGGCGAAGGCAGGUCUCUGGGCCAUUACUGACACUGAGAAGCGAAAGCAUGGGGAGCGAACAGG
rnacentral:rRNA from 1 species